CAAAAAUAUAUGAUAUAUAUCUAUAUAAUUGGCCAGACUUCCAAAAAAAAAAAAUUCAUUCUCAUUGUGACAGUCGUAUACAAAACAUUGAAAAUGAGAACUACGUUGCUUGUCUUUGCAGCGGCACUUGUUGCUUAUACCCAUGCUGAGAACUGCGACUCCACUAGCUCACAGAACCAGUGUACAAGUACCAGCUGUUCGACAGGUUACCUGAAGGAAUGUGCCAACAAUAUUUGCACGUGCAGUCAAAACACAUGUACCACACAAAGUGACUGUUCGAACUUUCUCAACUGCAACAGACAGUGGCAUUGCUUUGACAACUACUGUGUAUGUUACUGACACUGACAUUUGAUAUAUAAAGACUGAUUUUCAGCAAUAAAUUUAAAGCAUU
rnacentral:lncRNA from 1 species